rnacentral:rRNA from 1 species
AUUGAACGCUGGCGGCAGGCCUAACACAUGCAAGUCGAACGGUAACAGGAAGAAGCUUGCUUCUUUGCUGACGAGUGGCGGACGGGUGAGUAAUGUCUGGGAAACUGCCUGAUGGAGGGGGGUAACUACUGGAAACGGUAGCUAAUACCGCAUAACGUCGCAAGACCAAAGAGGGGGACCUUCGGGCCUCUUGCCAUCGGAUGUGCCCAGAUGGGAUUAGCUAGUAGGUGGGGUAACGGCUCACCUAGGCGACGAUCCCUAGCUGGUCUGAGAGGAUGACCAGCCCACUGGGACUGGAGACACGGGCCGGAGCCUUCGGGGAGGCAGAGGGGGGGAAUAUUGCCAAAGGGGGGGAACCCUGAGGCAGCCACGCCCGGGGUAUGAAGAAAGCCUUCGGGUUGUAAAAUACUUUCCGCGGGGGGGAAGGGAGUAAACUUAAAACCUUUGCUCAUGAAGGUUCCCCGCAAAAAAACCACCGGCAAACUCCUG